CCCCCCGUAUCCUCCGGAGGCCAAAAGCGGCCGUUGCGUCCUCUUUCCUAAGCGGUUGCCGAGAUGAUACUGUCGGGGUCAGUGGUCCGGCCAACAUGUCAUUGGACAUUCCCCGGGGGCUGAGCUCACGAACCGAGAGGCAAUACUUGAUAUUGGGCCCAAAGAGGGCAACCAGAGGAAUGGAAAGGGGGAAAGGCGGAGGAGGGGAGGAGGGGAGGAGGGUCAUACACAAUGUCCUGCAGCUAUGUUAGGUCGUGGCGGUAUGGCAGAGGUCCAGAGGCAUGUGCUCGAGACGAGAGAGCGGACUCGCAGCCGUAACAAAUGUGGCCCGCUUUUUAAAAAUAAUGGCACCUCUCUCUCUCUCUCUCCACACACGAGGACGUUGACCCCGAAAAGGUUGUGUGGACAGUACAACACCGCCGUGUCACCGCGUAUGGAAACCGCCCACACAAGGAGGAAAUACAGCGUGUACUGGUGUUGCUGGAGUACUGGUGUUACUGGAGUACUGGUGUAUCCUGGAGAUGCAGCAAAGCGGGAAAUAUGAAGCCGCAGCAUCUCAGAGAGAACCUGGAAAUCUUCCACCAACGUCACUCACUGCAUUCGUAUAGAAGUCAUCCGGGCCUGCAGUCAGCGGCCUCUCGUGACCCCCCCUUCAGACCAGAUAAAGUUACACCAACUGGAGGAAUGGUCUCGGCAUCAAGAUCCAAAAGAUGGAGCUAGAACUGAAGUAAACUGGACCGCGGGCGGAGAGCUUCUUACUUGGCGGUGCGCCGAUCCACGUCAGACCCGCCCACGC